AACUGGAGUGAUUUUGCUGAAGGACGCACAAUUUCCAUAAGAGAACUAAAGGACGACAGCUCACCAAUAUACCGUGAAGUUUGGUUCUACAUCAUUCUCAUGUUGAUUUUUCUCAACAUGUAUUAAUCAUGCAAUCUAAUGACAGAUAUUUAUUAACAUAAUUAAUCAAUUAUCAUGAAAAUGUACAACAAUAAACAAAUUAUAAUUGUAAUACACAAACAAUCCAUCUCUACCACAUAAGGCAGAAAAAACACUCUAAGUCACAGAGUUAUAUUUCUGGACCUUGUUGUAUAUUAAUCUACUGUACAAGCAUCUAACGCUAAACGUAUUAACUAAUACAUAAACUUAUCAUAUGAGCAUCUCUAAAUUAAAUGUAAAUUCAAUAAUAAAAACACAAGAUUA